AGGAGGAACAGCCCCAGUGGCGGGGCAGCUCUGGAAACCUGGAUUCAGCCCCCGCAGGAACUCCGGAGCUCUCGUCUGCAGGGCCUGGAGGCUCCGGGCGGGG
rnacentral:pre_miRNA from 1 species